CUACGGGGCGCUCCAGUGAGGAAUAUUGCGCAAUGGACGAAAGUCUGACGCAGCCAUGCCGCGUGCAGGAUGACGGCGCUAUGCGUUGUAAACUGCUUUUAUAUGCCAAGAAACCUUCGGACGUGUCCGAAGCUGACGGUAGCAUAUGAAUAAGCACCGGCUAACUCCGUGCCAGCAGCCGCGGUAAUACGGAGGGGUGCAAGCGUUAUCAGGAUUUAUUGGGUUUAAAGGGUCCGUAGGCGGAUCAUUAAGUCAGUGGUGAAAGCCGGCAGCUCAACUGUCGAACUGCCAUUGAUACUGGUGAUCUUGAAUACGGUUGAAGUUGGCGGAAUAGGUCAUGUAGCGGUGAAAUGCUUAGAUAUGACCUAGAACACCGAUUGCGAAGGCAGCCAACUAAGCCGUUAUUGACGCUGAGGGACGAAAGCGUGGGGAGCGAACAGGAUUAGAUACCCCUGUAGUC
rnacentral:rRNA from 1 species